GACAGAGGGUGCAAACGUUGUUCGGAAUUACUGGGCGUAAAGCGCGUGUAGGCGGCUCUGCAAGUCGGAUGUGAAAUCCCACGGCUCAACCAUGGAAGUGCAUUCGAAACUGCAGGGCUAGAGUCCUGGAGAGGAAGGUGGAAUGCUUGGUGUAGAGGUGAAAUUCGUAGAUAUCUGGAGGAACACCGGUGGCGAAGGCGGCAUCCUGGACCAUUACUGACACUGAAAAGCGAAAGCCAGGGGAGCAAACGGG
rnacentral:rRNA from 1 species